UGGGGAUCAAUUACUUACCACCAAGGGAGAUUAGAGGAUGCGGAAGACAUUACAAAGGGCCCCAGCUGCCUCCUUUUUAUAAAGGUGAUUUAAAGCAAAGCACAGCAGCUUCACAGAAGCAUGUAAGACCCCACAUAACCACACAACAAAUAGAAAAACUAGAAGUAUGAUAGAAAGUGACUGACUGGAAGACACUUUGCCACCAUGACCCAAGAUUUUCCAGAUCUGAUUAAGAAAACAAGCUCCAAUGAUUUUCUGAGUGCAUUUCAGGAACGUAGAACAGGGUGGUGAGGCGUCCGCCAGAAUUUUGAUGAAACCACUGCACAGUGUCCGAAGAAAAAGAAAAAUUGCACGUCAUCGUACAGCUGGCUCCCUCCUGGAGGCUCAGGACUGAAGGACUCUGCUCUACCUGCUGCCCUGUCACACCUGAUCAGAAACAGAAAAACAGUCCCUUGUAACAUCCCUGUAGACUAUGAGGAAGAGAGAAAGAAGAUAGAAAGCCUGGAAGACUUCUGAACUCCUUUCCCUCCCUCCCCUCAACAAUACUGCAGGUACAAAAUGCUUUCAGAUUCCCACCUGGGACAGCCCCAACUUACAGCAAACCUGGGCACACAGAAAUCCCGGCAGAGUGCUCAAUCGCCUCUUCAUGAUGUUUUGCCUUGUUGCUUGGGACAUUUUCACCAUAACAUAUAUUACAAUAACCCCUGGGCUGGUGAGUAUCAUGACUUGGUUGUGGAACUGUUCCUGCUCUUGCAACCAAUCAGCUCCACACUAUAAACCUCCCUCUGCCCCCUCAGGCCCAGGCAAUACUGAGUUCCUUCAGGUGGCUCAGGAACAGGAAGCCCCACCUCCAGCCUCAACCUAACCAAGUGGGGUGGAGAGUGAUAGAGUGAGACAGGAAAAAGAAAGGUCAUUUUUCUAUUACUUGAAGGACAUUUUCUGGUAAUCCUAGAUGUGGUAAGGAGCAUGAGAGUUUGCAUGAGAAGGGGAGAGACCCCCUCAGGGGGAAAACAUGCUUCAUCUAUGCUAAUUACAGACUUGGGAGCAUCACAGAAUCCACAUUUUUAAACCCAAAAAACAAGCAUAAAAGAAUUUUACUGACCUACAAAUUAACUUAUUUGAUAAUUCAUACUAGUCAUAUAAAGUAAUAAAAGUAUUAAUUCCAUGUAUUAUAUAUUUCAUGAGUUCUUAUUUUUGGAAUAUGUGAAAUAUAUGGAAAUAUUUAUGUAUAUGUGUAUUUGAAUUAUAUAGGGUUCCUAUGCAGCAGAAUCAACUCAGUGCCAACAGGUUUGGUUUUGGGUUUUGGUAUAUUUGAACUGUAUGUUCGAAUUCAUAUGUAUAUGAACUGGGACUUUUUUUCAAUAACCAAGACUUCUGGCAAAUAUUGUUAUAAGAAAUUACCCUCAAUAAGAAUGUAAAUUGUAAGGAAAAAAUAGAACAAUUCAGAUAUCAUUUCUACAUCUUCCUCUCCUUGACAUAGUUUUCUGAUUUUUAUCAGUAAAAACUUCCUGGGUACCACACACAGUCCUGUUAAUCUUUUUUUCUAAUUCCUCUGUAUCCCAUUUUCCGUUUUUCCCCUCUCAUUACUUUUCUAUUUCCAUAUCCUCCCUUUUUCUUACCUCUCUCCUUUUUUUUUUUUU